CUUGGUCAUUUAGAGGAAGUAAAAGUCGUAACAAGGUUUCCGUAGGUGAACCUGCGGAAGGAUCAUUAUUGAAAUUAUAGGUGAGGGUUGUAGCUGGCCUCUCGGGGCAUGUGCACGCCCGAGCCCUUAAUCCACACACACCUGUGAACCUAUUGUAAGGGCCCUUAAAAAAGGCCUUUACGUCUUAUCAUCAACCCAUCGUAUGUCUCAUAGAAUGUAAAUAUAUGUCCUCGCCUUAAAAAGCGUUGAUAAACUUAUACAACUUUCAACAACGGAUCUCUUGGCUCUCGCAUCGAUGAAGAACGCAGCGAAAUGCGAUAAGUAAUGUGAAUUGCAGAUUUUCAGUGAAUCAUCGAAUCUUUGAACGCACCUUGCGCUCCUUGGUAUUCCGAGGAGCAUGCCUGUUUGAGUGUCAUUAAAUUCUCAACUCCGAUCGAUUUGUUUCGACUUCGGAGCAUGGAUUUGGAGCGUGCUGGCGUCGGUCGGCUCCUCUUAAAUGUAUCAGCGGAAUCUAACGUUUCGGAUGUCAGUGUGAUAAUCAUGCUGCGCUGUCUGUCUGAUCCGAAAGCCCGCUCACAAUGGUCUUCGGACAACUUCAUAUCAAAUUUGACCUCAAAUCAGGUAGGACUACCCGCUGAACUUAAGCAUAUCAAUAAGCGGAGGA
rnacentral:rRNA from 1 species